rnacentral:lncRNA from 1 species
UGUGACUUUGGCCAGGCACCAAUCAUCUGCCUCCUUCUGUGCCUGCCUGGCUGCCCCUACCCUGGGGCUCCCUCCUAGCCCCCACCUCACCUACUGGCUCACUGAGACAGAGCCAAACAUGAAAGGGAAGGUGACGGCCUGGCCAUAGGGCCCAGGAAAAUGCAGGUAUCAUUAACAGCCUGGAGCACUGUGGCCUGUCCACUCUCAACCCUCUGCUGCCCACCCCUUCCUGGAAUAGACCCCAGGCCACAUACAGAGGGGGCAAGCCCAAGGACUCAACUGGCCCUCCGAACGCUAUCCCACUUUCCAGCCAGGAUUGAAGGAGAUCCCAUCUUGGGUCUAAAGGAAUGGGGGUGAAGACUGCAUCUUGUCGUUCCAGUUCCACCCCAUUCUGGCAUGGGAAGCAUGUGUGGGCUUCUACUCUAUGGGAGAUUCAUAGCCUCAAUCCUUAAGGAAUUCUCAAUCUGAAAGGAAAACACAAACCCUGACCUCAGGGAGCUCCCAGUUUGACAGUGGAGACAGAGAGGCCCUGCAUCAAGUAGAAAAACAACCCCCACUGCUCUCAAGCACACAGCAAUGAAGAUAUGUAUCCUUGGUGCUACAGGCAAGGUCUGGAAUGGAGAGGGCACAUCAGAGAGGCGACCAGCAAAUGAAUGAAUGA